CCUACGGGAGGCAGCAGUGGGGAAUAUUGGGCAAUGGGCGCAAGCCUGACCCAGCAACGCCGCGUGAAGGAAGAAGGCCUUCGGGUUGUAAACUUCUUUUCACAGGGACGAAGCAAGUGACGGUACCUGAGUAAUAAGCCACGGCUAACUAAGUGCCAGCAGCCGCGGGAAUACGUAGGUGGCAAGCGUUAUCCGGAUGUACUGGGUGUAAAGGGCGUGUAGGCGGGACUGCAAGGCAGAUGGGAAAACCAUGGGCUCAACCUAUGGCCUGCAUUUGAAACUGUCGUUCUUGAGUACUGGAGAGGCAGACGGAAUGCGUGGUGUAGCGGUGAAAUGCGUAGAUAUUAGGAGGAACACCAGUGGCGAAGGCAGUCUGCUGGACAGCAACUGACGCUGAGGCACGAAAGCGUGGGGAGCAAACAGGAUUAGAUACCCUUGUAGUC
rnacentral:rRNA from 1 species